rnacentral:snRNA from 1 species
CUGCUUCAGGGGCACAUAUACUAAAAUUGGAAGGAUGUUGAGACUAACAUGGCCCUUGCAGAAGGAUGACAUGAUAACCCGGAAAGUGUUCCUUGUUUUG